GUUCAGCUGCCAGCACAGAGAUCCAGCAAAAUCUGUUUAAACAAGAUAAAGAUUUGUUUAUCUCUCACAUAAGAGAAACCAGACCCAGGGAGCAGAAAGAGAGCAGGAACUUGGAUCCCAAAUGAUUACAGAGCCACCAUGGAAACCCUGGACUCUCAACAUCUGGCUAGAAAGAAGACACAGGAGAGGAAGAGGGGAAUGCCCCACGUGGUUUUUGACCUUUUAAGGAGGUUUUCCAUAAGUCCUACCAACGACUUGGGCUCAGAUUUCAUUGGCCCUAACUUAGUUCCCUCUCAUCUCCACCUCUGUCCUGGUACAGAUAUAUCACUAUUUGUAGUUAAACUAAUAAUCAAAAUUUCUAUUUUAUGACUAUGUGAAUAUUGUUUUUCCAGCUACAAGAAAUGAAUAAUUUUUUUUCUUAUAAAGAACAUCUCUUACAAAGUUUUUGUUCUUUCCUAGAGUUUUAAUUAGCCUUUUUUUUUUAAUAGCUUCAGCUUCUCCCCACCCCAUCCUGCCCCAGAGUCUCCAUCUUUUCAGUUAUGUUCUCUUUUUCCUGCGUCACAAAGUCCUUUCUGUUCUUUGCUCUGUUCUUUGCUCUCAACCCCUGCUGGUGGAUGUCAGAGGCUGCUGCUCAGCUGUCAUCCUUGGACUUGCCAGGCCACUCUUGUGGGUUGGAGGCACUGCUUCCAGGGUUCUGUACCUUCUUCUUUUUUUGUUUAUUCCACAUCUUGCUAGAACUUUCCGGACGGCCGACUUCUAGAUUAGGAACCAAAGAGGUACUGGAUCAGGCACCAGACAUACAGAGAUGAAUGAUGUAUAAUUCCUGUCCUGAAGAAUUUCACAGCCUAGUGAUGGAGACAGACAUGUAGAAAGUCCCAAGUCAGACACAGCAGGAGGAUUCUGUGCAUCCUUUUCUAACAGAUGGCUUGAAGUUCCUCAAGAGAUAAAGAGUUUUAUUGGGAAAUCUAAUAUCGAGUGUGCAUCUGGUUCAAAGCUGGACAAAGAGAAGAAGAUGACGAAGGAGGCUGGACCCUCUAGGAACCUGGGGGUCAGUCCACUGGCCGGCAGAGGAGGACGCCUUCCGGCCACUGGGCUCAGCGCUGGGAGCGCAGAGAGCUUCCCACCCGGGCACCACGCCCCCGCGCUCGUGUCCUCAGAUUUCAUUUCCACCCUUAGCACGACACCCUCUGUCCGGUUCAACAAAUUCCGCUAUCAUAAAACAUCUUCUUGUUUUUAAAAGGCUUUUUCUUCCUCAACUGCAGAUGAAUUUCUUUGGGUUCAUCCUACCGUGUUCUUGGCUUAAAAAUUACCCAGCAUUGCCACUGAGGAUUUGCUCCUUGCUCCUGGAAGGGGGUGUCAACUGCCAGAGCCCCUGUCCCCAAAUUCUAACCCAGUUCAGUGUCAUUCUGGAAUUAUUUCUAGGCACGUGUGGGUACAUAUACAUAUAUGUGUGCAUAGUGUGUGUGUAUAUAUACUCAUAUGUGUGUACAAUAUAUGUUAUAUACACACAUGCAUAUAUAUG